rnacentral:rRNA from 1 species
CAGUAGCCGCGGUAAUACGUAGGGUGCGAGCGUUAAUCGGAAUUACUGGGCGUAAAGCGUGCGCAGGCGGUUGUACAAGACAGAUGUGAAAUCCCCGGGCUUAACCUGGGAAUGGCAUUUGUGACUGUACGGCUAGAGUGUGUCAGAGGGGGGUAGAAUUCCACGUGUAGCAGUGAAAUGCGUAGAUAUGUGGAGGAAUACCGAUGGCGAAGGCAGCCCCCUGGGAUAACACUGACGCUCAUGCACGAAAGCGUGGGGAGCAAACAGGAUUAGAUACCCCAGUAGUCCCUGUCUCUUAUAC